AGAGCUUGAUCAUGGCUCAGGAUGAACGCUAGCUACAGGCUUAACAUAUGCAAGUCGAGGGGCAGCAUUUUAGUUUGCUUGCAAACUAAAGAUGGCGACCGGCGCACGGGUGAGUAACACGUAUCCAACCUGCCGAUAACUCGGGGAUAGCCUUUCGAAAGAAAGAUUAAUAUCCGAUAGUAUAUUAAAACCGCAUGGUUUUACUAUUAAAGAAUUUCGGUUAUCGAUGGGGAUGCGUUCCAUUAGUUUGUUGGCGGGGUAACGGCCCACCAAGACUACGAUGGAUAGGGGUUCUGAGAGGAAGGUCCCCCACAUUGGAACUGAGACACGGUCCAAACUCCUACGGGAGGCAGCAGUGAGGAAUAUUGGUCAAUGGACGAGAGUCUGAACCAGCCAAGUAGCGUGAAGGAUGACUGCCCUAUGGGUUGUAAACUUCUUUUAUAUGGGAAUAAAGUAUUCCACGUGUGGGAUUUUGUAUGUACCAUAUGGAUAAGGAUCGGCUAACUCCGUGCCAGCAGCCGCGGUAAUACGGAGGAUCCGAGCGUUAUCCGGAUUUAUUGGGUUUAAAGGGAGCGUAGGUGGAUUGUUAAGUCAGUUGUGAAAGUUUGCGGCUCAACCGUAAAAUUGCAGUUGAAACUGGCAGUCUUGAGUACAGUAGAGGUGGGCGGAAUUCGUGGUGUAGCGGUGAAAUGCUUAGAUAUCACGAAGAACUCCGAUUGCGAAGGCAGCUCACUAGACUGCAACUGACACUGAUGCUCGAAAGUGUGGGUAUCAAACAGGAUUAGAUACCCUGGUAGUCCACACAGUAAACGAUGAAUACUCGCUGUUUGCGAUAUACAGUAAGCGGCCAAGCGAAAGCAUUAAGUAUUCCACCUGGGGAGUACGCCGGCAACGGUGAAACUCAAAGGAAUUGACGGGGGCCCGCACAAGCGGAGGAACAUGUGGUUUAAUUCGAUGAUACGCGAGGAACCUUACCCGGGCUUAAAUUGCAUUUGAAUAAUCUGGAAACAGGUUAGCCGCAAGGCAAAUGUGAAGGUGCUGCAUGGUUGUCGUCAGCUCGUGCCGUGAGGUGUCGGCUUAAGUGCCAUAACGAGCGCAACCCUUAUCUUUAGUUACUAACAGGUCAUGCUGAGGACUCUAGAGAGACUGCCGUCGUAAGAUGUGAGGAAGGUGGGGAUGACGUCAAAUCAGCACGGCCCUUACGUCCGGGGCUACACACGUGUUACAAUGGGGGGUACAGAAGGCAGCUACCUGGCGACAGGAUGCUAAUCCCAAAAACCUCUCUCAGUUCGGAUCGAAGUCUGCAACCCGACUUCGUGAAGCUGGAUUCGCUAGUAAUCGCGCAUCAGCCAUGGCGCGGUGAAUACGUUCCCGGGCCUUGUACACACCGCCCGUCAAGCCAUGAAAGCCGGGGGUACCUGAAGUACGUAACCGCAAGGAGCGUCCUAGGGUAAAACUGGUAAUUGGGGCUAAGUCGUAACAAGGUA
rnacentral:rRNA from 1 species